rnacentral:misc_RNA from 1 species
AACACCUCAGCCAGAAUCUUUUCUGGAUGGACUUGAGCAAACCCAACGUGAUCUCUCCGGAGGUAACGGCGGGUUGCUUGAAAUGCAGGUGCAGCUGUGACAAGAACAGACUGAGCUAAAAGCAUAUCUAAUUUAGUCCGCCUAGCGGAUUAUCUCUAUUUGCUGCAGUUCAACCAAAGUCGUCUUGUCGAGCUGACUGAUGCAGGAUUUGUCAGACGUUCUUUUUCUCUCUGAGAGAAAGACUUCUUUCAAA